rnacentral:rRNA from 1 species
CUGCUGCCUCCCGUAGGAGUCUGGGCCGUAUCUCAGUCCCAAUGUGGCCGUUCAACCUCUCAGUCCGGCUACUGAUCGUUGACUUGGUAGGCCGUUACCCCACCAACUAUCUAAUCAGACGCGAGCCCAUCUGUUAGCGGAUUUCUCCUUUCCCACUGACACCAUGUGGUAUCUAUGGCAUAUGCGGUAUUAGCAAUGAUUUCUCACUGUUAUUCCCCUCUAACAGGCAGGUUGCUCACGUCG